rnacentral:lncRNA from 1 species
CUGGGCUUCAUGUUCAUGUCGGCCAUUGGUUGUGCUCUGUUAUUGGGCAAGGUCGCUGGCUAGGCACUUUGGUCAGGGGGGCUUCCGGCUAUAUCCUGCACUUGCGUAAGAUGAAAUUAUUCCAUAUGUGGCUAUAGAUUUGCUGUAUCCAUGGGAGGAGACAAAAUUUUAAUUUUCUCAUACCAACUUACCAAAUGGCCAGAAGCACUCUGGGAGCUCCAGAAUCACAUUAUACCAACUUGAAGACUGGAGAGGAAAGAGACCUUACCCAUCAUGCCAGUUUACAAAAAAAAAAUAGAAGGCCC